rnacentral:rRNA from 1 species
GGGGGUGCCGCCUGCGGACCCCCCUCCCGGCCCUGCCCUCACGGGCGGAGCGCCCGCCGGAGGAUACCAAACUCUAUUUUAACGACGUUUCUUCUGAGUGGCACAAGCAAAUAAUUAAAACUUUCAACAACGGAUCUCUUGGUUCUGGCAUCGAUGAAGAACGCAGCGAAAUGCGAUAAGUAAUGUGAAUUGCAGAAUUCAGUGAAUCAUCGAAUCUUUGAACGCACAUUGCGCCCGCCAGCAUUCUGGCGGGCAUGCCUGUUCGAGCGUCAUUUCAACCCUCAAGCUCUGCUUGGUGUUGGGGCCCUACGGUUGACGUAGGCCCUUAAAGGUAGUGGCGGACCCUCUCGGAGCCUCCUUUGCGUAGUAACUAACGUCUCGCACUGGGAUUCGGAGGGACUCUUGCCGUAAAACCCCCAAAUUUUUAAAGGUUGACCUCGGAUCAGGUAGGAAUACCCGCUGAACUUAAG